rnacentral:rRNA from 1 species
GUCCUAGCCCUAAACCAUCAGGACUUGGGGUGGCUCGCGUAGGCGGGUCGUCCCGAAGCUAACGCGUUAAGUCCUGCGCCUGGGGAGUACGGUCGCAAGACUGAAACUCAAAGGAAUUGACGGGGCCCGCACAAGCGGUGGAACAUGUGGUUCAAUUCGACGCAACGCGAAGAACCUUACCUGGGCUUGAACCGCUGGCGACCAACGGUAGAAAUAUCGUCUUUUCGCAAGAAACGCCAGUAGAGGUGCUGCAUGGCUGUCGU